GACGAACGCUGGCGGCGUGCUUAACACAUGCAAGUCGAACGGAAAGGCUCCAGCUUGCUGGCGUACUCGAGUGGCGAACGGGUGAGUAACACGUGGGUAAUCUGCCCUGCACUCUGGGAUAAGCCUGGGAAACUGGGUCUAAUACUGGAUAUGACCUUUCUCCUUAUGGGGUUUGGUGGAAAGUUUUUCGGUGUAGGAUGAGCCCGCGGCCUAUCAGCUUGUUGGUGGGGUGAUGGCCUACCAAGGCGACGACGGGUAGCCGGCCUGAGAGGGUGAUCGGCCACAUUGGGACUGAGAUACGGCCCAGACUCCUACGGGAGGCAGCAGUGGGGAAUAUUGCACAAUGGGCGGAAGCCUGAUGCAGCGACGCCGCGUGAGGGAUGACGGCCUUCGGGUUUUAAACCUCUUUCAGCAGGGACGAAGCGUAAGUGACGGUACCUGCAGAAGAAGCACCGGCUAACUAUGUG
rnacentral:rRNA from 1 species